UGUGGAGCGGCGAUGUGUUCGCAUUGGCCAUUAGAUCAUUAUAUUUUUGCCAUUUAAUAACAGAUUUCCGUCAAAACAAACAGAAGUAGCUGCUAGCUGGGACAUCGAUGACUCAUCACAGUAAUGCCAGGGGUUAAUCUAAAUUCAUUGCGGCGACUGUCACGUAGCCCCAUGAGGCAAAUGACGACGACUGGCGACGCUGGUUCCAAGUGCGAUUAGCUGACAACACUUUGGAACGAGCGAUUCGAUUAACUAGAUAAUGAUGAACAUCUUGAAUGAUGAAUGAUUGUUUGGCUAAUUAGCCGCUAGGUCUAGACACUAGACCCAACCGACUCCACUAUCCAUAUUUUACUGUCAACCCAACUAUAAUAAAAACAAAACAAAAAAUAUAA